AUAUUUUGAGGAAAAAGAAAAGAAACCGGUUAACACCGCAGGUCCAGUUCACAAGCAUCUUUACUUCACAAUUCCUCCACUCUCUCUCUCUCUCUCUUGAUCGAUCUCAUCUCGCUCUCUCAGUUCCGGUGCUCGUUAAGAUCUUUGGAAGAAGAAAUUAAAGAGGUGAGGUGAGGUGAUGGGGUAUAUCAUCGUGAUAUCGUUACCUAUGAUACUACUGUUGUUGAUCGCGGCUAUUGGGUGUUAUCUUUUUGGAAAAUCUCGUGGUCGUACAGAAGCCACAAUUCCUCAAUACUAUGGACCUCCUGCACCGCCACAUGGUGUUCACCUUCAAUCCCCCAACAAUAAAUAAAUAACGUUUGUAACAUUCGUAAAUGUUGUCAUCAUAAAGUUGUUACACCUUUAAGUCUUAUGUUGUUUAUACGUACUAAUGGGAUUUUUAUACGUUUUUUUAUUUUAGUUUACACAGUCUGAUGGGUAAAUGUUUUGUUUUGGUUUCACAAUGGAAUUAUAUUGUAUUUAUGGUUGGUGUUUUUCUAA